UCCAAUGGGGGGGCGGGGGGAACAGAAAGAAAAACAGCGACCAACCAAGCAGAGCCAUCUAUUCUGCAUCCAGCUUCCGUUUUAUCCUCUUGGAAAAUAGAAAUUAAAACUGAUCUUUAAUUGUUUAAAAGAAAAAAAACCCAACAACUCAGCAUGCACUAAAAAUGCAGUGUCCCUCCCUCCGACCACGAGAAUUUCAUUUGUAAUAAAUGGUCCCAAAAAUCUAGAUUGUUCUUAUGCAAAUACAGUUAGUUUUCCCUUAAUUUUUUAAAAAUUUUUGAAGUUUUUUUUUCUUAAAGAGGCAUUGCUAAAAGAACACAAUGUGACAGCACCAUUACAAAAUUAAGAUUAUUGGGUUCAAAAUGUACGCUUGAUUUUUUUUUUCCUAGUUCUCUUAAACAUCGGGGAAACCCUGCAAUAGUUUUCUUUAGAAAUCGUUCCCUUCCCCCCCAUGCCCUCCCAACACCUGAGACUUUCCUUGCUGAGAAGCCAUCAUCCAGGUUCUGUGAAUACUAACCCACUUUUUUUUCUUUUUUUUUUUUUUCUUUUUUUUUGACAGCCUGAACGGCAGACUCCUUACUUACUAGAAAGACAUUCAGUUCCUUGGAAGCCUUGUGUUUGCAGAACUAACCCUUUCUAGCUCACAGACCGAGUUUCUUUUGCUACUCCUUGCGUUAUCUCAUUUACUCGUGGGAGAAAGCUUUCUCAAUCAGAUUCUUUUUAGCUCUUAAAACAGUUGCAGCAUUUGAAACCCCCUAAUAAAAAGUUUUUAUUCCAGAGUUUUGGUUUCCUUUAUGAACCCAGACGAGAUCUUUUCCUUGGAGAUGUCUCUUCCUCUUCGUCGUCGUCUUCGUCGUCAGGAUAAUCCACUAGGCCAACUAGACUUCCCUGCCAAUUCAAAGAAAAAGAACAAAUUUCACAUGGAAAAAAUACCCAUGGCAGUGUCAUUUUUAGUGCACACCCCACCCCCUAAAGCUCAUCCAGGACACACGAGCCAGCAGAACGCCAGGCCUAAGGAAGGCACUCAAAUCUACUGCUACUUGGCUUUCCAACUUUCCCUAAGGUUCAAGUAAUUCUCCUCUAAGGAGUUUACAAAUACUGAGCGCUAUUUGCAAGCUGGAGACUGCAUAUCUCCUUGGCGAUGCCUUUUCCAUUCAGAGACCCAUUUUGUCUUCAGAAGGUUUUCAAUCUCAAGGACAAAAGAAAAUACUGAAGCAUCCCUGCUCCUCUGCAUCCAGCCUCGGAAUUAUUUCAAAUCACUGUAAGCUCAAAUCAUUGCUAUAAAACCUAACGUGUACACAUACGGCUCAGGAGUGUGCAAUAAACAUUUUAGCACACUCUUCUCCAACUUCUCCAGAGCUUUCAGGCUAAUAAUGCAAAUAAUGUACGUACAAGACAUACCAGCUACAUCAGCUAACUUCUGAAUUUCAUCUGCUUAAGAACACCGAAGCUCUUGACAGUGCAGUCCACUGAUGUAAUUCAGGGGAAAAAAAUAAGUGCAUCACACGCACAAAGCAGCAACUGGACUUAAAGCAGCUGAGGAGUGGGAGCAGUGGAGUUAUGCAAAAGAUGAGAAGUGACACAGCCCAGCGGAUUAGCAGCAGGUUCCCAUUCCCACCCACUACUUCAAGCCUUCCCCAGACUAGCAGGCAUUCAGCUAGGCAGGGCACAGACAAAUGUACGCUGCAGUAAAGCGCUACCUAGAGACCAGUGCUGACUUGCUGCACUAUGACCUGAAGAGUUUGUCACACAGCUCCGCUGCCCUAUGCGAGGACAGCUGCUUUUAUACAAAUCUCCCACCUUCGUGGCUGUCACUGCUGUGGUCAGGGUGGCGUUCUUGGAAGAGGAGCCAUUGGAGCUUGCUGGUGAUGUCUGAGCUGCCACAGAUUUGCUGUUUGCACCAUUUGCACCAUUGGCUGCGCUGGCUGAGUGGGAAAAAGUGAACUUGAAUCCCCCAGCUGAAGUCCUUUUGGGAAGAUUCUCUUUAUCUUCACUCUCUUUAGCUUUUUUAGUUUCCAUAAACUUUUCAUAGCUGUCUGGAAAAUCAUCCUCUGGUUUAGACUUCUCAACUGGAGGUACAACAGCUUCACCUUCCUCCUCUUCAUCCUCAUUGAACCACAUUUCUUCAUCCUCCUCCAAGGCUCUUGCGUCUCUGCGAAAUCUAUUGCUACGCAAUAUAGAUGGAACACUGUUCAGUUUCUGGUUUUGCCGGUCUUUCUCUUGCUCAUAUUUUGUCUUCAAUCCCUUGAAUGUCUGAACAUAUUCGAUAGAUUCAAGUGCAUUAUAAAAGUUUUCAACUAUAUGUGCAAUAAGUGACUUAAUAUCUUCCACUCUGAUGAAUUCGAACAGUUCAAUCACAGCAGAGUUGAGCAGAUUGUAUCUAGUUCCAUUAUCCAACAGAGCAUUUAUAACUGGCUCAAAGAGAUUUCCCUUGGUGAUAUAACGGUUAUAAAAUUCAUCUUUUAGGCCAAUUAUCCUCCUCAUAAA
rnacentral:lncRNA from 1 species